rnacentral:rRNA from 1 species
UACGGAGGAUGCGAGCGUUAUCCGGAUUUAUUGGGUUUAAAGGGUGCGUAGGCGGAUCGUUAAGUCAGUGGUCAAAUUGAGGGGCUCAACCCCUUCCCGCCAUUGAAACUGGCGAUCUUGUGUGGAAGAGAAGUAUGCGGAAUGCGUGGUGUAGCGGUGAAAUGCAUAGAUAUCACGCAGAACCCCGAUUGCGAAGGCAGCAUGCCGGCUUCCUACUGACGCUGAAGCACGAAAGCGUGGGGAUCGAACAGG